UUCACUUUUCCACAGCCGCAAACAGAGCAACCAUCUCCAUCAAAAUUCAAAAUCCCAUCCACCUUCUCCAUCGUCACUGACCGCCGUCGCUCUUCGCCUGUCGUCGUUGCCCUCGCUCGUCGCUCAUCGCCGUUGCCCUCGCUCGUCGCUCAUCGCCGUUGCCCUCGCUCGUCGCUCAUCGCCGUUGCCCUCGCUCAUCCCACUCAACUCCUCACGACGCACCUCAAAUCGGUCGCUGCAACCUCUUCCCGCCAGCACGCCGGUUGUUGCGUCGAGGAAUUUUUUUAUCGGUCUUAACCGCCGCAGCUACUUCGUACGUCGUCGUCUCUAAUAUAGCUACUUGAAUCUUCUGGCAAGUUGCAACUUCUUGAUAAGAUGUUGGUGAAGCUUAAAGAGCAAUGGCUAUUUAGGUGAAUGAACAAGCCAGUGAUGAGGCUGCAUCAGGGUCUUGGGGAAUUUCUGUGAGUUUCAUCUUAUUUUAAACAAAAGAUAUGAAUAUGAAUUAGAGAAUGUUUUAAUUUAUAAAUAAAAAUUAAUUUUGUGUCUAA